AGAAUCAACGCUGGCGGCGUGCCUAACACAUGCAAGUCGAACGAGAAAGUGGAGCAAUCCAUGAGUAAAGUGGCGCACGGGUGAGUAACACGUGACUAACCUACCCUUGAGUGGGGGAUAACCUAGAGAAAUCUGGGCUAAUACCGCAUAAUACCUUCGGGUCAAAGGAGCAAUUCGCUUAAGGAGGGGGUCGCGGCCGAUUAGUUAGUUGGCGGGGUAAUGGCCCACCAAGACUAUGAUCGGUAUCCGGCCUGAGAGGGCGCACGGACACACUGGAACUGAAACACGGUCCAGACUCCUACGGGAGGCAGCAGUGGGAAUUUUGCGCAAUGGGGGAAACCCUGACGCAGCAACGCCGCGUGGAGGAUGAAGUCCCUUGGGACGUAAACUCCUUUCGAUCGGGACGAUAAUGACGGUACCGAGAGAAGAGCCCCGGCUAACUCGUGCCAGCAGCCGC
rnacentral:rRNA from 1 species